rnacentral:rRNA from 1 species
CCUACGGGGGGCAGCAGUCGAGAAUCAUUCACAAUGGGGGAAACCCUGAUGGUGCGACGCCGCGUGGGGGAAUGAAGGUCUUCGGAUUGUAAACCCCUGUCAUGUGGGAGCAAAUUAAAAAGAUCGUACCACAAGAGGCAGAGACGGCUAACUCUGUGCCAGCAGCCGCGGUAAUACAGAGGUCUCAAGCGUUGUUCGUAAUCACUGGGCGUAACGCGUGCGUAGGCUGUUUCGUAAGUCGUGUGUGAAAGGCGCGGGCUCAACCCGCGGACGGCACAUGAUACUGCGAGACUAGAGUAAUGGAGGGGGAACCGGAAUUCUCGGUGUAGCAGUGAAAUGCGUAGAUAUCGAGAGGAACACUCGUGGCGAAGGCGGGUUCCUGGACAUUAACUGACGCUGAGGCACGAAGGCCAGGGGAGCGAAAGGGAUUAGAUACCCCAGUAGUC